rnacentral:rRNA from 1 species
AUACGGAGGAUGCAAGCGUUAUCCGGAUUUAUUGGGUUUAAAGGGUGCGCAGGCGGCCAUUUAAGUCAGCGGUUAAAUCGUGGGGCUCAACCCCAUUCUGCCGUUGAUACUGGGUGGCUUGAUUGCGGUCGAGGUUGGCGGAAUUCGUUGUGUAGCGGUGAAAUGCAUAGAUAUGACGAAGAACACCGAUUGCGUAGGCAGCUGACCAGACCGCAAAUGACGCUCAUGCACGAAGGUGCGGGGAUCGAACAGGAUUAGAUACCCUGGUAGUCCGCACAGUAAACGAUGAAUACUUGUUUUCGGCGAUAUAAUGUCGGAGGCAAAGCGAAAGCGAUAAGUAUUCCACCUGGGGAGUACGCCGGCAACGGUGAAACUUAAAGGAAUUGACGGGG